rnacentral:tRNA from 1 species
GACUUCGUGAUGUAGUGGUCAGCGUGCUCGACGGGUAACCGAGAGGUCCGUGGUUCGAUUCCCGGCAAAGACG